rnacentral:lncRNA from 1 species
GAAGAUCAACAAUCCAGGAUUGACCUUCCAUUUUUAAUUCAACCGGACCCCAAACCUGGUUCAUUUGUCAUGUCCACCGCCUUUGAAUCCCUCGUCUCCCUCUUCUCUUAGAGACACGCCCAAACCCUAGCGUCGUCACCUAAAGUCUCCCCUAAAUCCAUUCGAUUCCUACAUGUUCCAUGAGAUUCCAUGGUGGUUUGAGGCCUCUACCAGCCUCUUAUCUCUCCUAGUUCUUCGACCUUGUUGUUGCAUGGAGGGAUCUUGAAAC